rnacentral:rRNA from 1 species
GACGAACGCUGGCGGCGUGCCUAAUCCAUGCAAGUCGAACGCAGUGGGGACGGGUGAGUAACACGUGGGUAACCUCCCAUCAGAGGGGAUAACACUUGGAAACAGGUGCUAAACCGAUACUGAUGGAUGGACCCGCGGUGCAUUAGCUAGUUGGUGAGGUAACCGCUCACCAAGGCCACGAUGCAUAGCCGACCUGAGGGGGUGGUCGGCAAAACUGGGACGGAGACAAGGGCCAGACUCCCACGGGAGGCAACAGUAGGGAAUCUUGGGCAAUGGACGAAAGUCUGAACGAGCAACGCCGCGGGGGUGAAGAAGGUUUUCGGAUCGUAAAACUCUGUUGUUAGAGAAGCGGUAUCUAACCAGAAAGCCACGGCUAACUACCUGCCCGCAGCCGCGGUAAUAC